UCAAGUUAUUAAGGGUGCAGGGCGGAUGCCUUGGCACUAGGAGCCGAUGAAGGACGUGAUAAGCUGCGAUAAGCUUCGGGGAGUUGCACGUAAACUUUGAUCCGAAGAUUUCCGAAUGAGGAAACUCACUUAGAGUAAUGUCUAAGUAUCAUUAAGUGAAUACAUAGCUUAAUGAGGGGAACUCAGGGAACUGAAACAUCUAAGUACCUGAAGGAAGAGAAAGAAAUUCGAUUCCGUAAGUAGCGGCGAGCGAACGCGGAUUAGCCCAAACCAAUAAAGUUUUCUUUAUUGGGGUUGCGGACAUAUCAUAACGAAGAGGUAUCGUAAUUGAAGAGGUUUGGAAAGACCCACCACAGAAGGUAAUAGUCCUGUAUGUUAAACGAGAAGACUUCAGAUAUGAUCCAGAGUACCACGGGACACGUGAAACCCUGUGGGAAGCAGGAGGGACCACCCUCCAAGGCUAAAUACUACCUAGUGACCGAUAGCGUAUAGUACCGUGAGGGAAAGGUGAAAAGAACCCCGGGAGGGGAGUGAAAUAGAACCUGAAACCCUGCACUUACAAGCUGUGGAAGCACAUUUCUUGUGUGACCGCGUACUUUUUGUAGAACGGGCCAACGAGUUACGUUAAGUAGCAAGGUUAAGCACUUAAGGUGCGGAGCCGUAGCGAAAGCGAGUUUUAACUGAGCGUUCAGUUACUUGACGUAGACCCGAAACCGGGCGACCUACCCAUGAGCAGGAUGAAGCGAAAGUAAAAUUUCGUGGAGGUCCGAACCCACGAGCGUUGAAAAGCUCGGGGAUGACUUGUGGGUAGCGGUGAAAUUCCAAUCGAGCCCGGAGAUAGCUGGUUCUCCCCGAAAUAGCUUUAGGGCUAGCCUCAAGGUGAGAGAUACGGAGGUAGAGCACUGAAUGUCCUAGGGGGUAUUGCACCUACCGAAGACUAUCAAACUCCGAAUGCCGUCAUCUUAUACUUGGGAGUCAGACUGUGGGUGAUAAGAUUCAUAGUCGAAAGGGCAACAGCCCAGAUCGUCAGCUAAGGUCCCUAAAUGUAAGUUAAGUGGUAAAGGAUGUGGGAUUGCACAGACAACCAGGAUGUUGGCUUAGAAGCAGCCACUCAUUCAAAGAGUGCGUAAUAGCUCACUGGUCGAGUGAUCCUGCGCCGAAGAUUUCCGGGGCUAAAACUUACUACCGAAGCUACGGCAUCAGUAAUGAUGGGUAGGGGAGCUUCCCAUACGGGUUGAAGCAUGACCGUAAGGACAUGUGGACAGUAUGGGAGUGAGAAUGUUGGCAUGAGUAGCGAGAUGUGGGUGAGAAUCCCACAGGCCGUAAACCCAAGGUUUCCAGGGGAAGGUUCGUCCGCCCUGGGUUAGUCGGGACCUAAGCUGAGGCCGAAAGGCGUAGGUGAUGGACAACAGGUUGAUAUUCCUGUACUACCGAUAACCAUUUGAGAGAAGGGAUGACACAGUAGGAUAAGCUAAGCACACUGUUGGUUAUGUGUGCCCAAGCAUUGAGGCAGUCAAAGUAGGCAAAUCCGCUUUGAUAAUGCUGGGAUGUGAUGGGGAGCGAAAUUUAGUAGCGAAGUAGCUGAUUUCACACUGUCAAGAAAAGUCUCUAUCGAGGUUAAAGGUACCCGUACCGCAAACCGACACAGGUGGGUGAGGAGAGUAUCCUAAGGCCAGCGAGAGAACUGUUGUUAAGGAACUCGGCAAAAUGACCCCGUAACUUAGGGAUAAGGGGUGCCACCAUCAGGUGGCCGCAGAGAAUAGGCCCAAGCGACUGUUUACCAAAAACAUAGGUUUCUGCUAAGUCGCAAGACGAUGUAUAGGAGCUGACGCCUGCCCGGUGCUGGAAGGUUAAGGGGAUCUGUUAGAGCAAUCGAAGCAGUGAACUUAAGCCCCAGUAAACGGCGGCCGUAACUAUAACGGUCCUAAGGUAGCGAAAUUCCUUGUCGGGUAAGUUCCGACCCGCACGAAAGGCGUAACGAUUUGGGCACUGUCUCAACAACAGACUCGGUGAAAUUGUAAUUCCGGUGAAGAUGCCGGAUACCUGCGACAGGACGGAAAGACCCCAUGGAGCUUUACUGUAGCUUGACAUUGGGUCUUGGUACUACAUGUACAGGAUAGGUGGGAGGCUUUGAAACCAGGACGCCAGUUUUGGCGGAGCCAUCCUUGGGAUACCACCCUUGUAGUACUGGGACUCUAACCAUAGGCCAUGAAUCUGGUCUUGGGACACUGUCAGGUGGGCAGUUUGACUGGGGCGGUCGCCUCCCAAAAGGUAACGGAGGCGCUCAAAGGUUCUCUCAGUACGGUCGGAAAUCGUACGUAGAGUGUAAAGGCAAAAGAGAGCUUGAUUGCAAGACAUACAGGUCGAGCAAGGAUGAAAAUCGGACUUAGUGAUCCGGUGGUUCUGCGUGGAAGGGCCAUCGCUCAACGGAUAAAAGCUACCCUGGGGAUAACAGGCUUAUCUCCCCCAAGAGUCCACAUCGACGGGGAGGUUUGGCACCUCGAUGUCGGCUCAUCACAUCCUGGGGCUGUAGUAGGUCCCAAGGGUUGGGCUGUUCGCCCAUUAAAGUGGUACGCGAGCUGGGUUCAGAACGUCGUGAGACAGUUCGGUCCCUAUCCGUCGCAGGCGUAGGAAAUUUGAGAAGACCUGUCCUUAGUACGAGAGGACCGGGAUGGACGUACCUCUGGUGUACCAGUUGUCCUGCCAAGGGCAUGGCUGGGUAGCUAUGUACGGAAUGGAUAAGCGCUGAAAGCAUCUAAGCGCGAAGCCAACUUCAAGAUAAGAUUUCCCACCGCAAGGGUAAGACCCCAGAAAGACUAUCUGGUUGAUAGGUCGAAGGUGUAAGUGCAGCAAUGUAUUUAGCUUAUCGAUACUAAUAGGUCGAGGACUUGACCAA
rnacentral:rRNA from 1 species